GCGGGCCGAAUCGACAGUUGGACCGACCCACAUAGACGUCAGGCGUCGCGCUCGGCGGUCACGGUUCUAGCGCCGCAAGGUGUGAGAGUUCGAGUCUCUCCGUCCGCACCA
rnacentral:tRNA from 1 species